rnacentral:rRNA from 1 species
UGAACGCUGGCGGCAUGCCUUACACAUGCAAGUCGAACGGGAGCACGGGUGCUUGCACCUGGUGGCGAGUGGCGAACGGGUGAGUAAUAUAUCGGAACGUGCCCAGUCGUGGGGGAUAACGUAGUGAAAAUUACGCUAAUACCGCAUACGAUCUAUGGAUGAAAGCGGGGGAUCGCAAGACCUCGCGCGAUUGGAGCGGCCGAUAUCAGAUUAGGUAGUUGGUGAGGUAAAGGCUCACCAAGCCAACGAUCUGUAGCUGGUCUGAGAGGACGACCAGCCACACUGGAACUGAGACACGGUCCAGACUCCUACGGGAGGCAGCAGUGGGGAAUUUUGGACAAUGGGGGCAACCCUGAUCCAGCAAUGCCGCGUGAGUGAAGAAGGCCUUCGGGUUGUAAAGCUCUUUUGUCAGGGAAGAAACAGCAGCUCUAACACAGUCUGCGAAUGACGGUACCUGAAGAAUAAGCACCGGCUAACUACGUGCCAGCAGCCGCGGUAAUACGUAGGGUGCAAGCGUUAAUCGGAAUUACUGGGCGUAAAGCGUGCGCAGGCGGUUAUACAAGACAGGCGUGAAAUCCCCGGGCUUAACCUGGGAAUGGCGUCUGUGACUGUAUAGCUAGAGUGUGUCAGAGGGGGGUGGAAUUCCACGUGUAGCAGUGAAAUGCGUAGAUAUGUGGAGGAACACCAAUGGCGAAGGCAGCCCCCUGGGAUAACACUGACGCUCAUGCACGAAAGCGUGGGGAGCAAACAGGAUUAGAUACCCUGGUAGUCCACGCCCUAAACGAUGCUGACUAGUUGUUGGGAAUUUACAUUCUCAGUAACGUAGCUAACGCGUGAAGUCAGCCGCCUGGGGAGUACGGUCGCAAGAUUAAAACUUAAAUGAAUU